UUUCUCUUGUUCAAUCAUGGGACACGAAACAAUGACGCCGGCAACAACAACGC
rnacentral:sRNA from 1 species